ensembl:lncRNA
GUGUAAGAGAUGGGUCUGGGUAGUAGAGAGGUGUAAGAGAUGGGUCUGGGGUAGUAGAGAGGGGUAAGAGAUGGGUCUGGGGUAGUAGAGAGGUGUAAGAGAUGGGUCUGGGGUCAUAGAGAGGUAAAAUAGAUGGGUCUGGGGUAGUAGAGAGGUGUAAGAGAUGGGUCUGGGGUAGUAGAGAGGUGUAAGAGAUGGGUCUGGGUAGUAGAGAGGUGUAAGAGAUGGGUCUGGGGUAGUAGAGAGGUGUAAGUGAUGGGUCUGGGGUAGUAAAGAGGUGUAAGUGAUGGGUCUGGGGUAGUAGAGAGGUGUAAGUGAUGGGUCUGGGGUAGUAGAGAGGUGUAAGAGAUGGGUCUGGGGUAGUAGAGAGGUGUAAGAGAUGGGUCUGGGUAGUAGUAUUAUUACUAUUGGAUAGAACACACUCUGAAGUUUCUAAAACUGUUUGAAUUAUGU